GUUAACGUCAAGACCCAAGGGUAUUAACCUUAGGCUUUUCCUCGCUACUGAAAGUGCUUUACAACCCGCAGGCCUUCUUCACACACGCGGCAUUGCUGGAUCAGGGUUGCCCCCCAUUGUCCAAUAUUCCCCA
rnacentral:rRNA from 1 species